rnacentral:rRNA from 5 species
GGGUUGUGAGGUUAAGCGACUAAGCGUACACGGUGGAUGCCCUGGCAGUCAGAGGCGAUGAAGGGCGUGCUAAUCUGCGAUAAGCGCCGGUAAGGUGAUAUGAACCGUUAUAACCGGCGAUACCCGAAUGGGGAAACCCAGUGUGACUCGUCACACUAUCAUUAACUGAAUCCAUAGGUUAAUGAGGCGAACCGGGGGAACUGAAACAUCUAAGUACCCCGAGGAAAAGAAAUCAACCGAGAUUCCCCCAGUAGCGGCGAGCGAACGGGGAGGAGCCCAGAGCCUGAAUCAGCAUGUGUGUUAGUGGAAGCGUCUGGAAAGGCGCGCGAUACAGGGUGACAGCCCCGUACACAAAAGCGCAUGUGCUGUGAGCUCGAUGAGUAGGGCGGGACACGUGGUAUCCUGUCUGAAUAUGGGGGGACCAUCCUCCAAGGCUAAAUACUCCUGACUGACCGAUAGUGAACCAGUACCGUGAGGGAAAGGCGAAAAGAACCCCGGCGAGGGGAGUGAAAAAGAACCUGAAACCGUGUACGUACAAGCAGUGGGAGCACAGGUUUACCUGUGUGACUGCGUACCUUUUGUAUAAUGGGUCAGCGACUUAUAUUCUGUAGCAAGGUUAACCGAAUAGGGGAGCCGGAGGGAAACCGAGUCUUAAC